rfam:Sphingomonas sp. TDK1 TDK1_contig_10, whole genome shotgun sequence.
UGGGCAUGCGCGGGAGAGAAUCCGGUUCGCCGGAUCGCCGAAGGAGCAACCGCCCCGGAAUCUCUCAGGCACCGAGGACCGCGCAGGCCAC